GAGCAACGCCGCGUGAGUGAAGAAGGGUUUCGGCUCGUAAAGCUCUGUUGGUAGUGAAGAAAGAUAGAGGUAGUAACUGGCCUUUAUUUGACGGUAAUUACUUAGAAAGUCACGGCUAACUACGUGCCAGCAGCCGCGGUAAUACGUAGGUGGCAAGCGUUGUCCGGAUUUAUUGGGCGUAAAGCGAGUGCAGGCGGUUCAAUAAGUCUGAUGUGAAAGCCUUCGGCUCAACCGGAGAAUUGCAUCAGAAACUGUUGAACUUGAGUGCAGAAGAGGAGAGUGGAACUCCAUGUGUAGCGGUGGAAUGCGUAGAUAUAUGGAAGAACACCAGUGGCGAAGGCGGCUCUCUGGUCUGCAACUGACGCUGAGGCUCGAAAGCAUGGGUAGCGAACAGGAUUAGAUACCCUGGUAGUCCAUGCCGUAAACGAUGAGUGCUAAGUGUUGGGAGGUUUCCGCCUCUCAGUGCUGCAGCUAACGCAUUAAGCACUCCGCCUGGGGAGUACGACCGCAAGGUUGAAACUCAAAGGAAUUGACGGGGGCCCGCACAAGCGGUGGAGCAUGUGGUUUAAUACGAAGCAACGCGAAGAACCUUACCAGGUCUUGACAUCCAGUGCAAACCUAAG
rnacentral:rRNA from 1 species